rnacentral:tRNA from 3 species
GCCACCUUAGCUCAGUUGGUAGAGCGGCGCAUUCGUAACGCGCAGGUCCCCAGUUCAAUCCUGGGAGGUGGCUCAA